rnacentral:rRNA from 1 species
UACGUAGGUGGCAAGCGUUGUCCGGAUUUACUGGGCGUAAAGGAUGCGUAGGCGGAUGCUUAAGUCAGAUGUGAAAAUCCCGGGCUUAACUUGGGAACUGCAUUUGAAACUGGGCAUCUAGAGUGUGGGAGAGGAAAGUGGAAUUCCUAGUGUAGCGGUGAAAUGCGUAGAGAUUAGGAGGAACACCGGUGGUGUAGACGGCUUUCUGGACCGUAACUGACGCUGAGACACGAAAGCGUGGGUAGCAAACAGG